AACGAACGCUGGCGGCAGGCUUAACACAUGCAAGUCGAACGGGUGUAGCGAUACAUCAGUGGCAGACGGGUGAGUAACACGUGGGAACCUUCCUAGGGGUACGGAACAACUCAGGGAAACUUGAGCUAAUACCGUAUACGUCCGUGAGGAGAAAGAUUUAUCGCCCUUAGACGGGCCCGCGUCGGAUUAGCUAGUUGGUGGGGUAACGGCCUACCAAGACGACGAUCCGUAGCUGAUCUUAGAGGAUGAUCAGCCACACUGGGACUGAGACACGGCCCAGACUCCUACGGGAGGCAGCAGUGGGGAAUCUUGGACAAUGGGCGCAAGCCUGAUCCAGCCAUGCCGCGUGAGUGAAGAAGGUCUUCGGAUUGUAAAGCUCUUUUGCCAGGGACGAUAAUGACGGUACCUGGAGAAUAAGCCCCGGCAAACUUCGUGCCAGCAGCCGCAGUAAGAC
rnacentral:rRNA from 1 species